ACUCCUACGGGAGGCAGCAGUGGGGAAUAUUGCACAAUGGGCGCAAGCCUGAUGCAGCCAUGCCGCGUGUAUGAAGAAGGCCUUCGGGUUGUAAAGUACUUUCAGCAGUGAGGAAGGCGGGUGUGUUAAUAGCGCAUUCGUUUGACGUUAGCUGCAGAAGAAGCACCGGCUAACUCCGUGCCAGCAGCCGCGGUAAUACGGAGGGUGCGAGCGUUAAUCGGAAUUACUGGGCGUAAAGCGCAUGCAGGUGGUUUGUUAAGUCAGAUGUGAAAGCCCGGGGCUCAACCUCGGAAUUGCAUUUGAAACUGGCAGACUAGAGUACUGUAGAGGGGGGUAGAAUUUCAGGUGUAGCGGUGAAAUGCGUAGAGAUCUGAAGGAAUACCGGUGGCGAAGGCGGCCCCCUGGGACAGAUACUGACACUCAGAUGCGAAAGCUGGGGGAGCAAACAGGAUUAGAUACCCGUGGUAGGAUAGCG
rnacentral:rRNA from 1 species